rnacentral:rRNA from 1 species
AUGCCAGUCACACAAAGGUCGAGUCAGUCCAAUAUGGAAGUGAACUUAGAGAAUGCGGCACUCUGUUUUCUGAAUGCUGUGAACAGGGGCAGAACUGCUACUUGUUUGAUGAAUCAGAAAAGGGAGGUCACACUAACAGAAUGUAUUGCUCAAUGGAAUGUGACAUUAGCGAAUCAAAUGAAUCGAGUCCCAUUGGGAGCUCAGAAAGUCGCACUAAUGCUAAUGGUUGCUGCUGUCAAAUAG